AUGAACGCUGGAGGCGUGGCUAAGGCAUGCAAGUCGAACGAAGACAUUGGUGUAGCAAUACAUUGAUGUACUUAGUGGCAAACGGGAGCGUAACACAUUGGUAAUGUACCUCGAUCUCACGAACAACUCAGGGAAACUUGAGCUAAUACGUGAUAUGGAUGAGGGGCCGCAAGGCAUUCUCAUUGAAAGAUUUAUCGGAUCGAGAGCAACCUAUGUUCCAUCAGCUAGUUGGCGGGGUAACGGCCCACCAAGGCUAUGACGGAUACCAGGCGCGAGAGCGUGACCUGGCUCAAUGGGACUGAGACACUGCCCAUACACCUACGGGUGGCUGCAGUCGCGAAUAUUCCACAAUGGACGAAAGUCUGAUGGAGCGACGCCUCGUGUCGGAAGAAGGCCUUCGGGUCGUAAACGACUUUUAUUAGGGACGAAUCCUGACGGUACCUAAUGAAUAAGUGGUUGCUAACUCUGU
rnacentral:rRNA from 1 species